rnacentral:rRNA from 1 species
AGUGAACGCUGGCGGCGUGCUUAACACAUGCAAGUCGAACGAGAACGGAUUAUAGCUUGCUAUAAUUGUCAGCUAAGUGGCGCACGGGUGAGUAAUGUAUAGGUAAUAUGCCUCUUACUAAGGGAUAACAAAUGGAAACGUUUGCUAAUACCUUAUACUCCUUAUUAACAUAAGUUAAUAAGGGAAAGAUUUAUUGGUAAGAGAUUAGCCUGUAUUGUAUCAGUUAGUUGGUGGGGUAAUGGCUUACCAAGACUAUGGCACAUAACUGGUUUGAGAGGAUGAUCAGUCCCACUGGAACUGAGACACGGUCCAGACUCCUACGGGAGGCAGCAGUGGGGAAUAUUGCACCAUGGACGAAAGUCUGAUGCAGCAACGCCGCGUGGAGGAUGACACAUUUCGGUGCGUAAACUCCUUUUAUAUGAGAAGAUAAUGACGGUAUUAUAUGAAUAAGCACCGGCUAACUCCGUGCCAGCCGCCGCGGUAA